AACCCAUCGGGCCUCGCCGACUAUGACACUUAAGCAUGAUUUGAACCCUUCUGUAUAUAGGCUUCAAAUAUGAUAAGUGGAGUAGCCGGCGAGCGCCUUGGGAGUUU
rnacentral:pre_miRNA from 1 species